GAAGAUCAUACUGCAUGUAGUCCACACGCCCGUAGUAUACCUAAGAGUGGGUGUGUAGCAAUUAGUUUUGCCAGAGGACGGUUGGCGAGAGUUUAUCACUCUUGUUUGCCUACUUUUGGUAGACUUUAGUCGGGCUGGACCUUUGGUCCUCGUCUGACAGUUGCUACGUGCUUACUUACCACGGUUCAUCCGUGAGGCCCUUGGCUUGCAACUGUAAAUAAAUCGUUGUGCUUAAAGCGGGCUAUGAUACUCUGCCAGAGCGAUUUAGCAUGGGACUGCAGAGUAGCUGUAUUUGGAUGAAGGUUGUGUUUCGGCAUGGCUGGAGUCUGGUACAGCGCUUGUAAUGGAGCUCAGGGUGAGGCCCCGGGUACCAUGAGGCUAGAGGUGAAAUUCUGAGACCCUCAUGUGACCAACUAAGGCGAAAGCUGUCGUGGGCCACCACAAGCUCGUCUAUCAGGGACGAAAGUUGGGGGAUCGAAGACGAUUAGAUACCGUCGUAGUCCCAACUAUAAACGAUACCAACCGAGUAUUUGGGAAGACACUAUCCCAGCGAUCUUCUCAGAACUCAAGGGAAACCUUAAGUCUUUGGGUUCUGGGGGGAGUAUAGUCGCAAGACCGAAACUUAAAGGAAUUGACGGAAAGGCACCACCAGGAGUGGAGUCUGCGGCUUAAUUCGACUCAACACGGGGAAACUCACCAGGUCAGGACACAAGUUUGAUUGACAGGUUAAUAGCCCUUUCUUGAUUGUGUGGUGGGGUAGUGCAUGGCCGUUUCCAGUUCGUGGAGUGAUCUGUCUUGUUAAUUCAGUUAACGAACGGACCCUUAUACGUGUGAAACUUUUGAAUGUUAA
rnacentral:rRNA from 1 species